GACGAACGCUGGCGGCGUGCUUAACACAUGCAAGUCGAACGAAGAGCGAUGGAAGCUUGCUUCUAUCAAUCUUAGUGGCGAACGGGUGAGUAACGCGUAAUCAACCUGCCCUUCAGAGGGGGACAACAGUUGGAAACGACUGCUAAUACCGCAUACGAUCUAAUCUCGGCAUCGAGGAUAGAUGAAAGGUGGCCUCUACAUGUAAGCUAUCACUGAAGGAGGGGAUUGCGUCUGAUUAGCUAGUUGGAGGGGUAACGGCCCACCAAGGCGAUGAUCAGUAGCCGGUCUGAGAGGAUGAACGGCAACAUUGGGACUGAGACACGGCCCAGACUCCUACGGGAGGCAGCAGUGGGGAAUCUUCCGCAAUGGACGAAAGUCUGACGGAGCAACGCCGCGUGAGUGAUGACGGCCUUCGGGUUGUAAAGCUCUGUUAAUCGGGACGAAAGGCCUUCUUGCGAAUAGGGAGAAGGAUUGACGGUACCGGAAUAGAAAGCCACGGCUAACUACGUG
rnacentral:rRNA from 1 species